rnacentral:rRNA from 1 species
AUACGGAGGGCGCGAGCGUUGUUCGGAAUCACUGGGCGUAAAGCGGGUGUAGGCGGCCUGUCAAGUCAGAUGUGAAAGCCCACGGCUCAACCGUGGAAGUGCAUCUGAAACUGGCAGGCUUGAGUACCGGAGAGGGAAGUGGAAUUCCUGGUGUAGGGGUGAAAUCCGUAGAUAUCAGGAGGAACACCGGUGGCGAAGGCGACUUCCUGGACGGAUACUGACGCUGAGACCCGAAAGCGUGGGGAGCAAACAGGAUUAGAAACCCUUGUAGUCC